AUACGUAGGGGGCGAGCGUUGUCCGGAAUUAUUGGGCGUAAAGAGCGUGUAGGCGGUUCGGUAAGUCUGCCGUGAAAACCCAGGGCUCAACCCUGGGCGUGCGGUGGAUACUGCCGGGCUAGAGGGUGGUAGAGGCGAGUGGAAUUCCCGGUGUAGCGGUGAAAUGCGCAGAUAUCGGGAGGAACACCAGUAGCGAAGGCGGCUCGCUGGGCCAUACCUGACGCUGAGACGCGAAAGCGUGGGGAGCAAACA
rnacentral:rRNA from 1 species